CCUACGGGAGGCAGCAGUGAGGAAUAUUGGUCAAUGGGCGGAAGCCUGAACCAGUCAAGUAGCGUGCAGGAUGACGGCCCUACGGGUUGUAAACUGCUUUUAUACGGGAAUAACGCGCCUUACGUGUAGGGCUUUGCAUGUACCGUAUGAAUAAGGACCGGCUAAUUCGGUUCCAGCAGCCGCGGUAAUACGGAAGGUCCGGUCGGUAUCCGGAGUUAUUGGGUUUAAAGGGAGCGUAGGCCGCAUGUCAAGCGUGCUGUGAAAUGUCCGGGCUUAACCCGGGCCUUGCAGCGCGAACUGGAGUGCUUGAGUCCGCGGAAAGCAGGCGGAAUUCGUCGUGUAGCGGUGAAAUGCUGAGAUAUGACGAAGAACCCCGAUUGCGAAGGCAGCUUGCUGCAGCGGAACUGACGCUGAUGCUCGAAAGCGCGGGUAUCGAACAGGAUUAGAUACCCGGGUAGUC
rnacentral:rRNA from 1 species